CAUGGGUCCACUGGGAGAGGGCAAAGUGAUCUCACAAUGAAGAUUGGGAGUGGACAGCCAGUCCAGUUGCCUGGCUGGAGACCCUGGCAAUGGCUUGAGGGGGCAGCCAGCAGGAGCCAAGGUAUGACUGAGUCAGCCAGGGGAGUGGUGCUGGGAGCAGAACUGAGCCAAAAGAACAGCUCAUGAAUUCAGACUUCAGCUUCAGGGAUCAUCAGGGUGCACAGCAAACUAGUACACAGGGCACUGCCCCAGAGACAACGACUAGAAGACACCAUGCUUAAGACCCUGCGUUCCCUUUCUCUGCCCAUAUCCUUAAUCUCCCUUACAGAGAAAGGCAAGAGAGGGGAAGUCUAUCUGAGAGGCAGAACUAUUCGAUUUAAUAGUCAACAUAAAAUACCAGAUUGGACUAAGCUUUAAACCAGAUUGGACAUUUCACUAUUUUUCACUGCUAGCCAGUGAUGCGGAGCUUAUGAGGAAGACUGUAACAGAUAUAGGCUAAGUAAAGAAGUCUUAUUUUUUCCAUACAUGAGUUGUUGUUAAGUUUCUUGGCCCUCCUCCCCCACAUACAUAUUCCAUGUGGACUGUAAGGGGAAAAGAAGGAGCGUGGCUUUCCAGGAAAGCAGGAGCUGGAGAGCAGAAGCGCCGGAGCAAGAAUGAACUUCCUGGAUUACUCAGAACGAAUGUCUCUGAGGCCACAGCAGUGGGAGUUUUGAUCCCGGAAAACACUGGAGUAAAUCUGAAUCUGCUUCGGAUGAAUUGCCUCCUAGGAACUACCUUAGCCUCGCAAAUAGGCUUUCAUCAUCUCAUCCUACCUGUCCACCAGACGUAUAACCAGAAGUGUAUAAACUCCGACCACAGUUCUGCCUCAGCCACAGUCGAUGCAGCUGGGGAGACUCAGUCAGCAGAAGCCCUUUCUGCUGAGUUCACCGCGAGGGAAGGUGAAAUGGGAGGCAGUGGAGACAUGGACCUGCUCCCCGGUGCUGGGUUCCACUUCUGCUUCGGCUCAGUUCAGAGCCUGUUGGACUCUCCCAUCUCUCCAGUCAAGAAAGUAACUUCUGGCCGGGCGCGGUGGCUCACGCCUGUAAUCCCAGCACUUUGGGAGGCCGAGGCGGGUGGAUCACGAGGUCAGCAGAUCGGGACCAUCCUGGUCAACAUGGUGAAACCCCGUCUCUACUAAAAAUACAAAAAAUUAGCUGGGCACGGUGGUGCGUGCCUGUAAUCCCAGCUACUCGGGAGGCUGAGGCAAGAGAAUUGCCUGAACCCAGGAGGCGGAGGUUGCGGUGAGCCGAGAUUGCGCCAUUGCACUCCAGCCUGGGUAACAAGAGCAAAACUCCGUCUCAAAAAAAAAAAAAAAAAAAAAAAAAAGAAAGUAACUUCUUCCAAAAAGAGGUUAGUGUGGUUAGGUUAGUAUAGGUGGAAAUAAUUGAGACGCUUCCUGAUUUAGUACGUCCUGAUGAUGGUGGCCAUAUUGGGGGAGAGGGAGGAAGCUCUUAUUUUAGGCAUUAAAGUGAAUUUAAGAAAAUCAAAGUGCCUUCCUUUAGAAGAGACAGAACUAGUUUUUAAUAUUUUAUGGAAGCUACUGGAAUAUUUUAUGAAAGCCUACGCUGUAGAGAGGUCAUCUUUAAAGUAAUCGUGGUAUAAUAAGCCAUAUCUUAAAAUGUAAUUUUAAACUUAGACUGAACUAUUCUAUUUUAAAUUGGGACUUUUUAAUAACAGAGAAUUAUGUCCAGUUUUUUAUGAUCACAUGUGCACAUGCACACAGGAGCACACACAAGAAGGCAAAGUAAUGAAAAGAUACCCACAAAGACAGCUCUGUGUGAGAUUCAAUGUGGCAUUGUUUUUAUCCUUUGGUUUAUCAAUUUUUUUCCCUAAGGUUUCCAAAAUGUUACUUUUCUAAUAAGAGAAAAAAUGUGUGUGUGCCAGAGUGUGUGUGCAUGGUGUGUGUCCAUGCACACAUGUGUGCAUGUGCACAUGU
rnacentral:lncRNA from 1 species